AAAAGUAAAACCUCUGCCUCAAGAGCUGCACAUGAAUUAAUCAAAGGACUGUUCCUGUUUUUACCAUUCACAAUUCAGUCCAGACCACCUGACGUCCUGCAGAGAACACCAAGACCUGAUGAUCCACAUGAUCAAAAGUGAUGCAUUUCAAAUGAAUCAAGUUGUGUGUCCGUGGCUCACGGGAAGCACAUUUGUGACUCAGAUCAGGUCACGGUAAUAAUCACUCAAUCGUCCGUCUAAUGCUUCCUUUAUGGAUAUUUUACAACUUCCGGCUUCCAGCGUUUGGAAGAGAGCAGAUCCAGAACGAGACAAUGUGAUGUGGAUCAGAGAUUACAUGCAAAGAGGAAACUUUCCUGUCGUAUCAUUCACCAAAGAGACUGAUAGAUCACAUCUGUCGUGACACCAGAGGAACCACAAACCUCUUCUCUCUUGUGUGUCAGAUAGCAAUGAUUUUACAUCAAAUCGGUUUUCUGCUUCCUUUCCUAAACAACUAAUGAUAUCAACUAGUGAUCAACUAAUCUGUGUCUAUUCUAAAAUAACUGUCUUGGACAAGGUUAAUAUUUUAAUGACUCAUAUCUAGGAAGUCUAUUGUAACUCUCAGAGAAGAUGAAAUGUGACCUGAAGAACGUGUUGUUUUGAGAUCUAAUGGUUGUUUUGUUCACACAUGUGUCAUGUGGACUGAAUCCAGUCUUCGGCCUUGAAGUAGCCGGUUGAUUUAAAACGAGAGAAACUUGUUCUCCAUCCAUAAAUCUGUGAGGCCGACUCAUCUCAUCUCCGCUCCAACACCGACAGGCACUUUUGGGAAACCAGAGUAUCUCUUUCCAAAUUUAUCAGCGUGACCCUUAACCUUCAGAGUCAGUCCUCAGCAAAAGUCCUUCAAGUCUCAGAUUUGAGUUCCAGGCGGUUUUCCACAUAGCUACAUAACAGCUCUCAGGUCACAAACCUGUCAGAACCAGAUCCGUCUCUCCUCUCGCUGUACUGCACUGACAGCGCGUUCGCUCUUUAACCUUCAACGGUUUCCUGGUAAUCCAAACCUCUGACCCUGGCGCUGGGUUUGAAAUGACAUUCCCAACACUUUUGGAAUGAAUGGUCAGGACUCUUUCCAUUUUGAAGGCGAAUUGUGUAGGAUUUUGUC